rnacentral:rRNA from 1 species
UUGAACGCUGGCGGUAGGCUUAACACAUGCAAGUCGAGCGGUAACAGAGAAUAGCUUGCUAUUCUGCUGACGAGUGGCGGACGGGUGAGUAACGCGUAGGAAUCUACCCAGUAGUGGGGGACAACUUGGGGAAACUCAAGCUAAUACCGCAUACGCCCUACGGGGGAAAGCGGGGGACCUUCGGGCCUCGUGCUAUUGGAUGAGCCUGCGUUAGAUUAGCUAGUUGGUAGGGUAAAGGCCUACCAAGGCUACGAUCUAUAGCUGGUCUGAGAGGAUGAUCAGCCACACUGGAACUGAGACACGGUCCAGACUCCUACGGGAGGCAGCAGUGGGGAAUAUUGCACAAUGGGCGCAAGCCUGAUGCAGCCAUGCCGCGUGUGUGAAGAAGGCUCUAGGGUUGUAAAGCACUUUAAGCAGGGAGGAAGGCCAGUUAGUUAAUAUCUGACUGGAUUGACGUUACCUGCAGAAUAAGCACCGGCUAACUCCGUGCCAGCAGCCGCGGUAAUACGGAGGGUGCAAGCGUUAAUCGGAAUUACUGGGCGUAAAGCGCGCGUAGGCGGUUUGCUAAGCCAGAUGUGAAAGCCCCGGGCUCAACCUGGGAACUGCAUUUGGAACUGGCAGGCUAGAGUACGGUAGAGGGUGGUAGAAUUUCCUGUGUAGCGGUGAAAUGCGUAGAUAUAGGAAGGAAUACCAGUGGCGAAGGCGGCCACCUGGACUGAUACUGACGCUGAGGUGCGAAAGCGUGGGGAGCGAACAGGAUUAGAUACCCUGGUAGUCCACGCCGUAAACGAUGUCAACUAGCCGUUGGGGACCUUGAGUCUUUAGUGGCGCAGCUAACGCAUUAAGUUGACCGCCUGGGGAGUACGGACGCAAGUUUAAAACUCAAAUGAAUUGACGGGGGCCCGCACAAGCGGUGGAGCAUGUGGUUUAAUUCGAUGCAACGCGAAGAACCUUACCAAUCCUUGACAUCCAGAGAAUCCUUUAGAGAUAGAGGAGUGCCUUCGGGAACUCUGUGACAGGUGCUGCAUGGCUGUCGUCAGCUCGUGUUGUGAAAUGUUGGGUUAAGUCCCGUAACGAGCGCAACCCCUAUCCUUAGUUACCAGCGGUUCGGCCGGGAACUCUAGGGAGACUGCCGGUGACAAACCGGAGGAAGGUGGGGACGGACGUCAAGUCAUCAUGGCCCUUACGACCUGGGCUACACACGUGCUACAAUGGCCGGUACAGAGGGUUGCAAAGCCGCGAGGUGGAGCUAAUCCCACAAAACCGGUCGUAGUCCGGAUUGGAGUCUGCAACUCGACUCCAUGAAGUCGGAAUCGCUAGUAAUCGUGGAUCAGAAUGCCACGGUGAAUACGUUCCCGGGCCUUGUACACACCGCCCGUCACACCAUGGGAGUGGGUUGCAAAAGAAGUGGGUAGGCUAACCUCGGAGGCCGGUCACCACUUUGUGAUUCAUGACUGGGG